rnacentral:rRNA from 1 species
UACGUAGGGUGCAAGCGUUGUCCGGAAUUAUUGGGCGUAAAGAGCUCGUAGGCGGUUCGUCGCGUCGGCUGUGAAAACCUGAGGCUCAACCUCAGGCCUGCAGUCGAUACGGGCGGACUUGAGUACUGCAGGGGAGACUGGAAUUCCUGGUGUAGCGGUGAAAUGCGCAGAUAUCAGGAGGAACACCGGUGGCGAAGGCGGUUCUCUGGGCCUUACCUGACACUGAGGAGCGAAAGCGUGGGGAGCGAACAGG